CGCAUUUUCAAACAUCGAAUAAUUAAUUAGGGACUUUUAGCGAGAUAAUGUGCCUAAUUUACAGCAAUAACCAUUUGAAGAAUCAAACUGUUUAAAAGUCUUUUAUGUAGUUUUUUACAAGCUUUCUGAUGAUGCAAGUUAUAUUUGUCGCGAUUGAAUUCAAAAUUUCACAUUUUUUGUUGUAGUAGAAUUUAAUAGCAAAUAAUGCUAAUAGCAUCGUAACUCUCUAAAAAAAACAGUUUCACGAUGGCCCCACUUUUGCAUGUUGUUCUACUCAUAAAAAGAUGCUACUGUGCACAAUUUGGUGCUUUUAACCCUCUUCGGAAACAUCCAUGCACAUAUCCGCCACACUAAAAAUAAUCCUGAUAGUUCCUGGUAUGGCCAAAGAAGCACAGUAACCUUAAAGCCGGUUUUCCACUUGCGAAUUUUUUCGCGCGAAGCGAAUUUUUCAUUUGUCUUUGGUCUCUCAACUGGAACCAUCUGGAACUAAAUUGGAUAAAGACAAAAGAAAAAUUCGCUUCGCGCGAAAAAAUUCGCAAGUGGAAAACCAGCUUAUUAAAGGCCGUUUUCCACUAGGCGGAAUUUUGCGCGCGGAGCGGAAUUUUUCUUUGUCUUGUGAUUUCUCGGGUGGAACUAAUUAGAAAAGACAAAGAGAACUUCUGCUCCGCGCGGAAAAUUCCGCCUAGUGGAAAACCGGCUUUACUAUCUUACUAGCUCGUCUACAAGAGUAACCCUACUCCCUAGCCUUAAACCUGAAUCCUAUUAAACUUUACCUUGGUACGAACCGACUUAACUUAGAACAAAUUAACCACGCACUCAUUAUUCAUUUAAACACUUCAUAACUCAUGGUGUAUUCUUGUUCAAUAACGCAUUUUUGCGUUCAACUUUGUGCUAGGGCGUUCGCAUUCUAAUGGUACGUUGUCUCAGUGGUUUCGGACACCCUGUACAGAAUACUGUGACUUUAUAAUUAAAGGUCUAUGUUAGGAAGAGGAGGGGCACCUUGUCCGUUUGAAUACAGCACUUUUUUAAUUGCAUGUUUAGAUGAAUAUUUGCUGAAUUAAUUUGUACUCAAUAAAGUUUAACAAACAAAAUAACGUUAUCAUACUCACCUUAACACAGC